rnacentral:SRP_RNA from 1 species
GGAGGCUGGCGGCGGGCGGAUCCCUCGCCAACCGGGUCAGGUCCGGAAGGAAGCAGCCCUAACGAGUUUCGGUUCGGGUCGUCUGUCCAGUCUCCCAC